rnacentral:rRNA from 1 species
GACGAACGCUGGCGGCGUGCUUAACACAUGCAAGUCGAACGGAGUGGCGAACGGGUGAGUAUUACGUGAGUAACCUGCCCUCAACUGUGGGAUAAGCCUGGGAAACUGGGUCUAAUACUGCAUAGUUGGGGAUGGGCUCGCGGCCUAUCCGCUUGUUGGGGGGGUGAUGGCCUACCAAGGAUGUGACGGGUAGCCGGCCUGAGAGGGUGGUCGUCAGUGUUGGGAGUGGGAUACUGCCCAGACUCGCACGGGGAGCAGCAGUGGGGGAUAUUGCACAAGGGGCGCAAGCCUGAUGCAGGGACGCCGCGUGGGGGAUGAGGGCUUUCGGGUUGUAAGCCUUUUUCGGUAAAGAACGGGUAUGUGCAGAAGAAGCGCCGGCUAACUACGUGCCAGCAGCCGCGGUAAUUC